CCCACCACAUCAAAGCCAAUUGGUGUUGAGUUGUGUGGCCUAUAUGAGGGCAAUCACAGCCAGAAGAAGCAUCAGUAUUGGCAAGACUGUUGUGCGGUGUAGAUCGGUGUUGUUUGUGUUCAGAAACGUUAUUUGAGGUUAAUAUUAUUGGAUGUGAAGGAAAUGUGAACUGGACUGAAGCGCUCAAGAUCAUAUCCGAUGCUUACGACUGAUAAUUACUUUGGAUUUUCGGAUUAUACUACCAGAGAAAUAGUAGCCCGCCUAAUGGUGUUCCAUGUUUUUUAUUACGAAAAUUCUGCAACCAGACGUUACAUAGACGUUCUUUGGGUGUACUAAAUGUGACAGUUAAGUUCCCGGAAUAACCGAAUAUAUGUUUCAUCGAAUAGCCAGUGACCAAUAACUAAGCAACGACGUGUCACGACGUGUCUGCUACUUGUGAGGUGAUCAAGCGAGUAAAACAGAUGUAGCGGAGUUACACAAACGCGUGUUUUCGUCCCGAGUAAUAAGUCGUUGGGGAAACGCAUUAACACCAAGGUUUGGGCAAAACUUAGGCAAAAGCGCGAGUGAAACUCUACAAAUGUCAACAGAGGCUUACGGUGCUUAUGUUAUGAAAAAGUCGAGUGUCAUAUAAGGUUAAAGAGUGCACUCUCGUCACGAGCAAACGUGAAGAAAAUUCUGAUUUGUUUCUUUCAUCACAAGGGCAUUGUUCACUUUGAGUCUGUUGAACAAGGUCGAACAGUGAACCAGCAUUGUUAUUUGAAAAUAUUGGCAAGGUUAGAUGAGGCUGUUCGUCAGAGAAGACCUGAACUUUGGCCUGAUGUUUGGUUGACGCGCUCGCUGUCCGGAAGUUUCUGACCAAACAACUGAUAUUGAAAAGGAACCAUCCUCGAUAUUUACUAAAACUGAAGACCUCUUUUGAAGGGCCACAGAAUUUCAGACAUUGCUGACAUUAGAAUACCAUCCUGAAGAGGAGUUCCAGAAAUGUUUUGAGCAGUGGAAAUACCGAUUCACUACUAGGAGACUACUUCGAAGGUGACGGCAACCAUUAGCAUAUGCACGGGCAGUUACAGCAUGAAGCAUAUUCAAGCAGGACGUACUUCAUUUGUCUCAUUGUUGUGCAACGCGACAUCAUGUGGGGGCUUUGCUAAGCGACAGGAAGAGAGGAAUAAGUGUGUUAUUUAAAAGGGGGAACGAUUAUCAUCAUAUCAAGAUUGACAGGAAAUAUAACCCCUUUGUUAAAUUAAGUAAUCUUUUAGUAUGGGACGUGUCUGGAUGAAUUGAUAUUUAAAGUGUAUUGUGUAUGAGCAGUAAUCAUUUCGACCCUUUGUGGUGAUUGUAACUUAUUUAAAUCUUGCCUAUUUCAUUAUUUGUCAAUUAAGGUGAAAAGGCCCGUAUUAAA